rnacentral:rRNA from 1 species
UUGGGAAUAUUGCGCAAUGGGCGAAAGCCUGACGCAGCAACGCCGCGUGAGCGAUGAAGGUCUUCGGAUCGUAAAGCUCUUUCGGCCGGGACGAAAACCCACCGUUUAAUAAGCGGUGACUUGACGGUACCGGAAGAAGAAGCACCGGCUAACUCUGUGCCAGCAGCCGCGGUAAUACAGAGGGUGCAAGCGUUGUUCGGAAUUAUUGGGCGUAAAGCGCGUGUAGGCGGCUUUGUGUGUCGGGUGUGAAAGCCCUCGGCUUAACCGAGGAAGUGCGCCCGAAACUGCAGAGCUUGAGUGCCGGAGAGGAGAGCGGAACACCCGGUGUAGAGGUGAAAUUCGUAGAUAUCGGGUAGAACACCAGUGGCGAAGGCGGCUAUCUGGACGGAAACUGACGCUGAGACGCGAAAGCGUGGGGAGCAAACAGGAUUAGAUACCCCUGUAGUCC